GAUGAACGCUGGCGGCGUGCCUAAUACAUGCAAGUCGAGCGAACGGACGAGAAGCUUGCUUCUCUGAUGUUAGCGGCGGACGGGUGAGUAACACGUGGAUAACCUACCUAUAAGACUGGGAUAACUUCGGGAAACCGGAGCUAAUACCGGAUAAUAUUUUGAACCGCAUGGUUCGAAAGUGAAAGGCGGUCUUGCUGUCACUUAUAGAUGGAUCCGCGCUGCAUUAGCUAGUUGGUAAGGUAACGGCUUACCAAGGCAACGAUGCAUAGCCGACCUGAGAGGGUGAUCGGCCACACUGGAACUGAGACACGGUCCAGACUCCUACGGGAGGCAGCAGUAGGGAAUCUUCCGCAAUGGGCGAAAGCCUGACGGAGCAACGCCGCGUGAGUGAUGAAGGUCUUCGGAUCGUAAAACUCUGUUAUUAGGGAAGAACAUAUGUGUAAGUAACUGUGCACAUCUUGACGGUACCUAAUCAGAAAGCCACGGCUAACUACGUG
rnacentral:rRNA from 1 species